AGAUGAUAGCAAUGCCUCGGGGAGCUUCCUCACUCUGUCCUCUGUCUGCCUUUCAGCUGUGAGAGGAACUGCAGGCCAGUUAAUGCCAGCAAAGACAUUCUGCUCAGGGUCACCAUGGGGGAGGACUCUCCAGUGGCUAUGUUCAGCUGGUAUUUGGACAACACCCCAACAGAGCAGCACUGACCAGGCAUGCCUAUGGGGAGGACACCUAUGUGAUCAGCACUGUGCCUCCCCGUGAGGUGCCUGCCUGCACUAUUGCCCCAGAGGAGGGCACCGUUCUGACGAGCUUUGCCAUCUUCUGCAACGCCUCCACAGCCCUGGGACCCCUGGAGUUCUGCUUCUGUCUGGAAUCAGGUUCCUGCCUACACUGUGGCCCUGAACCUGCCCUCCCAUCAGUGUAUCUGCCACUUGGAGAGGAGAACAAUGACUUUGUGCUGACAGUAGUUAUUUCUGCCACCAAUCGUGCAGGGGACACGCAGCAGACCCAGGCCAUGGCUAAGGUGGCACUCGGAGACACAUGUGUUGAGGAUGUAGCAUUCCAGGCUGCCGUGU
rnacentral:lncRNA from 1 species